rnacentral:misc_RNA from 1 species
GUUUUUCUUCUUUAAUAUCUUUUAAUGUAGAUCUAGAUUAAUUAUUGUGGGGUUUCAAUUUGGCGUUUGGAGUCCUUGUUAGGGUUUCUCUGUGUAUUAGAUGGUCCAUCUCUGGGCUCGAUUCUUCGCUUGGAUAUCAUAGGGUUGUUACUUACUUUAUCUCACGCUUACUUACCCCAAUUUUCUUCUUUACCAGACUGAUAAUUCUCGUUUCAAGACUUUUGGCCCUGAAAAUUAAGGAAAUUCAUUGCUUUAUCGAAGGAUGACUUGCCUGAAUUUUCUUCGAAUCAGAUUGAGACUUCUUGUUUUUUUAAUGAAUUUGGCUGGCAAAUUAAGGAAAUUCCCAAUGAUAAUGGAGAAUACCAAUUGAUUUAUCAAAAAAUCAGUAAUUCUAAUAAAAAAUUAAUCUCCUAAUUUUAUUUUUCUUAUCCACGUUGAUGGGUGUUCCAGAAUCCACCUUAGCUAUUUGACUGUUUGAUUUAGUUUGCCGUUAGGCUUUUUU